rnacentral:rRNA from 1 species
CCUACGGGUGGCAGCAGUGGGGAAUAUUGGGCAAUGGAGGAAACUCUGACCCAGCAACGCCGCGUGAAUGAUGAAGGUCUUCGGAUUGUAAAGUUCUUUUCUAAGGGAAGAAGAAAGUGACGGUACCUUAGGAAUAAGCCUCGGCUAACUACGUGCCAGCAGCCGCGGUAAUACGUAGGAGGCAAGCGUUAUCCGGAAUGACUGGGCGUAAAGGGUGCGUAGGCCGGUCGUUAAGCGUGCCGUGAAAUUUUGUGGCUCAACCAUGAGAGUGCGGCGCGAACUGGAGACGUUGAGUGCGCGGAAGGCAGGCGGAAUUCGUGGUGUAGCGGUGAAAUGCUUAGAUAUCACGAAGAACCCCGAUUGCGAAGGCAGCCUGCCGCAGCGUUACUGACGCUGAAGCUCGAAAGCGCGGGUAUCGAACAGGAUUAGAUACCCCAGUAGUC